GAGGCGGGAGCCUGAGGAGACGAAAGUAGCGGCGCGGCUGAGGGCAAGGAGAAGAUAGGGGAGGAGGCGGAGGAGAGGGAAGUGAGGCAGGGCCUGGAGCGGGGUCGGGACAGGUUGCGGACCCGCGAGGAGGGCAGAGACCUGCCGGGGCGCGGGAGCGCGGGAGACAGGACUGCAACUUUGCCUCCGCCCGCCGUGUCACCUGCCCGGCUUCUCCCCGCCGCGACCGCGGCACUUCGCGCAGGCCGGACGUGCCGGCUGAGCUCGCUUCAUUUAGUCAAACGCUGGGACUGCGGGGCGGCGGCUGAGCCACGGAAACUUCCCCAAGCCUGCGAGUCACCCGCGGCCCCGCCUCGAGGCUCGGCUCAGGUCCCCGGCUGCUAUCCCUGCCCCAGGCGCCCGGCGGUGGAUGUGGCCUGGAUUUCGGGUCACCACUCGUUCGGGGGACACCCUUCCCUCCCCGCCUCCCCAGAGACCGCUGCUCGGGGCCCUCCCUAAAGGCUGGGGACUGUGUUCGUUUCCCACCGCCACUCCACCUGGAUGUACCGAACUACAGGAAACCCAAUGAAGUUCUGGCUUUCCCAAAGACUACUUGAGAUGCUUUUCGUGACAGACAUCAUAUUCUUCCCAAACAUAUUCUUUGGCGCCUGACUUCGCUGGAACCCUUGGAGAGUGUUUAGUCUCCCAGCUGGGUGACAGCGCUCCGGGGAGGGGCUUAAGACCUCACAAGGGCUGCCUGACGCCGCCUGUCCUUGGAUGGUUGCAAAACUCAGUCCUGAGUCAAGGUCCAAAUUAAAGGUUCGAUGUCCCUUUCAGUUUAGUUCCUCUGGCAUUUUCACGCAGCAGAAGCGCUCACAAGCAAUUCAGAGCGUUCCACUAAGAUGACCGCCCAUUCUGGUGUUAUUCAACAUGCCAGCGUUCAUUGCAGCUGUCUUUGGCCAGUGAACAAUCGCACCCUCAUGAGUGGGAGUUGUUUUAUACUAUUUCAAAGAGCUCCGGGGGUAAAUUGUUUCCCAUCCGAAGGUUUAAAUUUAACAGAGAAAGAGCCAAUGAUAGAAGUUGCAAGAUUUGGUUGGUUCCUUGUUGCUGUUCUGGAUUUGAAACACAGGGAUUUUUCUGUGAAUUGCUGAAGACAAAUUCACAAACAGAACAACAACUGGCUUCUGCUUAAUUGCAGGGAUAAGAUAUGUAAAUUAGAUGCUGUGCAUAUUUGAGUGAUAGCAUCCACACACCUCUGAGCUUCAGGCCCUUUCUCAACUUAUAAUCACCUUAUUCAGGAGAAAUUCCUUAUCUCACCCCUCAUUUACUUAGUUAAGUAAAGAAAAAACAUACUCAUGCAGAAGAGAUGAGAAAGUCAACACCCAGAAAGUGACUGAAAUAUGCUUCUUGUCAUGGGUCCAAAAACCCAUAAAAAGACCUCUUCCAUCUUAAUCUCCAGUCAGGGAUUGACAUGUGCUUGCAGGCACACACAGGCCCACAACGAGCAGCAGUCCAGCAGAACACAGCAGGGCAGCUUCGAAGAAAAACUCAAGCCUCUGAAAAACUGGCCUCAACCCCCUUGAGAGAUCUACCAAUACUCACAAGAGCUCUUGUCUGAGCACAGAUGCAAGAUGAAUUUUACACAGUGGUGGAGCUUGUGCACGAUUUCUAAUAAGAUAUUGGCAGUUUUGCCCGGAGAGAAUAUAAUCUUUAACACUUGCACUAAUUUAGCAAUAAACCAGGCAUUUAUUAAGAAAAAGUCAGUAUCCUUUCUAUCUUUUCAAAAGAAAGAAGAGGGAAAACAAAUGUGUUUAUUUUAGCAACAAAAUAAGACAAGACUAAUCAGAAUGCAGUUUACUGGUAAGACAAACAUCAUAUACA